GGCCUCUCCCCGAUGUCCUCCGUGUGGGAUACUGUUGGUCGUUUUUGAAGGACUCAGUCAGUGGGAAUCUCACCCACGUGUGUGGAGGCACCACCCCAAUUUGCACACAAGAGCCAUCUGCUUACUUAGCAUCUGGAGCAGGUUGGUCGGGACCAACCUCAUCUGAAGAGUUUCUGGUCAUCUUGAACUUAACUCGUCCCUCAACUGCCUGAAGGAAGGCAGAGACCUCAGACAGACCGCCCUCAAGGAUGCAUUCAAGGCCUCUCUCCGGGCGUAAACGCUGCCUCUGCUGUUUGCGGCGGGCACUUUCAGAUGCAAAUGUGAAGUUGGUCCCUCUGAGCAAAUCUGGUUGCUAUUCUCCUCGGAGACUUGGCUAGAACACCAAUACUGCCCUGCAACAGGAGAGCGUCAUAUCACUCACCGCUGCACUUUAGAAGAAGAAAACAACUGAAAAAAAGCAUAAAAGGAAAAACUCUUGAUAGCAUUUCCCCUUCUGAAGGGGUCGGUCAGUUAUGGAUUUUCUUCGCUCUCCACGCUACUCAAGAGAAAACCAUCCGAAGGGAACUGUGCCCUGCACCCGGCACCCCUCACUCUGCACCCCGCACCCCUCACCCUGCACCCCCGCACCCGAGCCUGCAGUUCCCUAAGAAACUCACUGUGCUAAAGAA
ensembl:lincRNA Gm37662 predicted gene, 37662